rnacentral:rRNA from 1 species
CCUACGGGAGGCAGCAGUGGGGAAUAUUGCACAAUGGGCGCAAGCCUGAUGCAGCAACGCCGCGUGAGGGACGACGGCCUUCGGGUUGUAAACCUCUUUUAGUAGGGAAGAAGCGAAAGUGACGGUACCUGCAGAAAAAGCACCGGCUAACUGCGUGCCAGCAGCCGCGGUAAUACGUAGGGUGCAAGCGUUAUCCGGAAUUAUUGGGCGUAAAGAGCUCGUAGGCGGUUUGUCGCGUCUGCUGUGAAAACUGGAGGCUCAACCUCCAGCCUGCAGUGGGUACGGGCAAACUAGAGUGCGGUAGGGGAGAUUGGAAUUCCUGGUGUAGCGGUGGAAUGCGCAGAUAUCAGGAGGAACACCGAUGGCGAAGGCAGAUCUCUGGGCCGUAACUGACGCUGAGGAGCGAAAGCAUGGGGAGCGAACAGGAUUAGAUACCCUGGUAGUCCAUGCCGUAAACGUUGGGCGCUAGAUGUGGGGACCAUUCCACGGUUUUCCGUGUCGCNGCUACGACAUAGCGCCCGCCGUCGGGAGGUACGGCCGCGACGGACGUAAACGUACGAAGAAGUUAGUACGGCGUUGAGACGNGCCGACGGACGACGACGAGGGAGAGG